AGUCAGCCGGCCUCCAGGGGCUGGCAUGCCUGCCCACCCCUCCCUGCACGGCUGCCCCUUGAUCUGUGUCACAGAGAGGGCACCACCUUUGACCAAAAGGUCAGGGACACGCUUGGGGUGUCUAGGGUGCCAGUCCCACUCAGCAAGGCCCCGGGGUCUUCCCUGGCCUCAGCCCAUGCGCUGGUCAGGUGCCCAACCCGCCUGUAGGGCCCCGGUCCUGCUGCUGGCCUGCCUGCCAGCCGGCCCUGGGGGUGCCAGGGAGCCGAAAUCUCUCUCAGGACUUGGGCUGGGGCCUCCCCCUAAGAAGAGCUGGGGUUGACAUUUGAGUGUGAGUGGUUUAUGUGGGAGAUGGUUCUGGAAGAGCCAGUCGGGGAGCCAGGAAGGGGACAGCAGGCCCCAGGAGCUUUGUCCAGUCCUGGACAGUGGUAGGUAUUACCUAGGUAUUACCCACGACCCCACGUCGGAGCCCCUCCUUGAGUGAGCAGAGGGAGAUGCCAGGUGGGAGACAGGACCCAGGUGGCCACACGGUGUCCAUCUGUGCCUUUUGGCCAUCACAGCAGCCCUCAGGUCAGACAGUCCUUCCUUCCCAUUGGGCAACAAGAAGGUGCUUGCUGACCUGAGUCCACACAGCAAGGUGUCUGAGCAGCGCCAGGAGCCGAACCCUGAGAAUAAACUGGAGGAAGAGUGUACGAAACCGCCCACACCACAGGUCCGCAUGCCGAGGCGGGGGCCGGCUCUGAAGGGCGUGUGGCUUACGUAGGCUGACAGCCGCCUUCCCCGGUGAGACAGGUUCCGGGCGUCCGGCCUCCCCGGUGGCCCUGGGCAGUGGACAGAGGGGGGCCGAGUACCCCCCGGCUGCUGGCCAGGCCUGCGCGAGCCUCUGCUGAGGCCCGAUGGUUGCAGGCACCCUGACUUAAAAGUAAUCCCAGAGGAGGGCCUCCCCUUGCAGGGAGCGCUUGGCUGGCUGAGUGCUCUGGGUUCUCGAAGAGCGGGCAGACCUUUCUGCUCGGACCACUCAGAUCUCCUGGCCCCAGACGGGAGGCUGCUGCCGUGGAGCGAAGUUGGAGGCAAAAAGCCAAUUCCAGGUGAGGAGCUCUGGCCGAAGAUCUGCUCGAAUCCAGGGGAGAGCUCCCGGAGAUGCACAUUCCUGGGCUAUUUCCGGAAGGCCUGGCUCGAGGGCUAAGCGGCCUCCGGGGCACCUGGAGCCGGGAGCGCGGGCCAUCCUCUGAGAGGAGGGUACAAAAACACCCUCUAUAACACACACACGCUGCUUUAGGAAGGAGCCAAAAAUCAGAAUCGGGGCUCAAUCAGAGGCUCAAAGAUGCCCCCGGGGCCCGGGCCCUGCUCGUGGGGGUCCCCCAUGGAGAUGCCACCCUAGUCUCUUGAACUAUGGGUAGGGGUAGCCCUCAAGCCCCCAGGCCAGCCAGGCAGUCUCCGUCGUGGCCAGCCUCCCCUUUAAAGGCUGGACGGGAGGCCAGGACACCAGAAGCGCCUCCCAAAAGCACGUCUGGGCAGAGCAGGUCAGCACCACGUGCCCUGGGCCGGUCUGGACGUGCUGGCCGCUGGCUCCCAGCCCUCCCGGCUUCAUCCCGGCCGCCACCCUUUCCGGGGUCCGUGACUGGUCUGGCGUCUCCCGGGAGCUGCCCCUGAGCGAGGAAGACACCUUCCGGCGUCUUUUUCAGGCACUGUCUCUUUGAACCCUCACGAGGGUCCUGUGACGUAGGUGUGGUGCACCCGCUGCAGCUGGGCGUAAGUGGACGCAGCUGGAGGGAAACCCAAGCCUCACGUGCUGCCUCUGAGCCCAGGGGGCUCUGUCUCAGACCUGCCAACACUCACACCAGAUAAGGGGACUCCAGGCUGGGCGGCAGAAGGUUCCGGGGCGCGAGCCUUCCUUACAUCCUGACCUGUCACCGCGUAAGACGAUCCCCUCUGAAGGGACCCUGAUGACACCGGCAGAGCCAGAUUGAAAUUGGACCUGGGAGGGAGCCCACCUGCUUGCGGUUCUGGAAGCCUCCAGCUUGCAGGACUUCCAGGACCCUGCUGAACAGAAGUGGUGUGAGCAGGAACCCUGUCUUCUUCCUGAUCUCAGAGGAAGGGCUUGUCAUAUAUGGCCUUUAUUAUGUUGAGUCUCUUACAGGGUUUCCAAAAUGUCACCAACUCAUGAACACUCUCUAAGAGCCUAGCACAGUGCCUGGCAUACAACAGGUAGCAUGGGAAGCUGACUGAGUAAACACAAUAUUGAUGAUCGAAGUGCCUCAAAAUGCCUCUUGUUAAUUAUUAUUUACAAAUCACACAAUCUAAACUGUAAUGCUAAGUGUAGCCUUAGUGGCAAAAUUAAAACCCUGGUGUGUUUCAAGUACUUGUUAAAAAGCUUUUCUGGGGAGCCUGGGUGGCUCAAUUGGUUGGGUGUCUGAAUCUUG